rnacentral:pre_miRNA from 1 species
GUCCGCGUCACUCAUGGUAUUUGAAGAUGCGGUUGACCAUGGUGUGUACGCUUUAUUUAUGACGUAGGACACAUGGUCUACUUCUUCUCAAUAUCACAUCGCGCC